GCUGUGGAGACAGAGCUGGGCACCGUCAGAAGAACCAGUGCAGACGCUGCUCGUGUCCAGGAGGAACGCCCAUCAGCCCUGGAAGGUUCCGCCCCCCCCAGCACGCGGAACCUUCGGGAACUGAAAAAGGAAAGAACCCUGAAAGUUCACAGCCUUCGAGGAUCUCGGGUAAAUGUCUGGUGUUGAGACUUCCAGUCCCGGCAGAGCGACCACAGCAAAAGUGACCACACGUGUCUGGAGAGGUUCCUCCGCGAGGUCUCUUGGGGCCGCUGGGUGCGGCCUGACCCCACCAUUCUCCCAAUGACACCAAAACCUCCCCGAUUCCACAGGACACGGGUACUUAAUGUGUCCCUUGCACUGAAUACACUGUGUUAAGUGCUGAGUAAACACAGGCGAAUAAAACCUAAA